UCGAGUUCCACCCGCAAUGCGUCAAGAACCCUCCA
rnacentral:sRNA from 1 species